GUGCUUGCUUUGGCAGCACAUAUACUAAAAUGGGAAUGCUACAGAGAAGAUUAGCAUGGCCCCCAUGGAAAGAUGACAUGCAAAUUCAUGACAUAUUCAAUAUUUUG
rnacentral:snRNA from 1 species